GAUGAACGCUAGCGAUAGGCUUAACACAUGCAAGUCGAGGGGCAGCGAGGAAUAGCAAUAUUUUGUCGGCGACCGGCGCACGGGUGAGUAACACGUAUGCAACCUACCCAUAACUGGGGAAUAACCCGUCGAAAGGCGGACUAAUACCGCAUAACAAUCAAGAGCUGCAUGGUUUUUGAUUUAAAGAUUUAUCGGUUAUGGAUGGGCAUGCGUUCCAUUAGGUAGUUGGCGGGGCAACGGCCCACCAAGCCUUCGAUGGAUAGGGGUUCUGAGAGGAAGGUCCCCCACACUGGUACUGAGACACGGACCAGACUCCUACGGGAGGCAGCAGUGAGGAAUAUUGGUCAAUGGGCGAGAGCCUGAACCAGCCAAAUCGCGUGAAGGAUGAAGGUAUUAUGUAUUGUAAACUUCUUUUAUCAGGGAAUAAAGUGCAGCACGUGUGCUGUUUUGUAUGUACCUGAAGAAUAAGGAUCGGCUAACUCCGUGCCAGCAGCCGCGGUAAUACGGAGGAUCCAAGCGUUAUCCGGAUUUAUUGGGUUUAAAGGGUGCGUAGGCGGACUGUCAAGUCAGCGGUGAGAGUUUGCGGCUUAACCGUAAAAUUGCCGUUGAAACUGGCAGUCUUGAGUGUAGAUGAGGUGGGUGGAAUUCGUAGUGUAGCGGUGAAAUGCUUAGAUAUUACGAAGAACUCCGAUUGCGUAGGCAGCUCACUGGGCUACAACUGACGCUGAGGCACGAAGGUGCGGGGAUCAAACAGGAUUAGAUACCCUGGUAGUCCGCACAGUAAACGAUGAAUACUAGUUGUUUGCGAUACACAGCAAGUGACACAGCGAAAGCGUUAAGUAUUCCACCUGGGGAGUACGCCGGCAACGGUGAAACUCAAAGGAAUUGACGGGGGCCCGCACAAGCGGAGGAACAUGUGGUUUAAUUCGAUGAUACGCGAGGAACCUUACCCGGGCCUGAAUUGCAUAUGAAUAUAGCGGAAACGUUAUAGCCAGCAAUGGCAUAUGUGAAGGUGCUGCAUGGUUGUCGUCAGCUCGUGCCGUGAGGUGUCGGCUUAAGUGCCAUAACGAGCGCAACCCUCAUCAUUAGUUACUAACAGGUCAUGCUGAGGACUCUAAUGAGACUGCCGGCGUAAGCUGUGAGGAAGGUGGGGAUGACGUCAAAUCAGCACGGCCCUUACGUCCGGGGCGACACACGUGUUACAAUGGGGGGGACAGCAGGCUGCUAAGUGGUGACACCGAGCGAAUCCUGAAACCCUCUCUCAGUUCGGAUCGAAGUCUGCAACCCGACUUCGUGAAGCUGGAUUCGCUAGUAAUCGCGCAUCAGCCAUGGCGCGGUGAAUACGUUCCCGGGCCUUGUACACACCGCCCGUCAAGCCAUGGAAGUUGGGGGUGCCUGAAGUGCGUGACCGCAAGGAGCGUCCUAGGGCAAAACCGAUGACUGGGGCU
rnacentral:rRNA from 1 species